AUUCACUACAGAGGGUUAAAACUUUUUUACCCCUUGGGCUUUGACAGAUGGAGUAAUGUUGACGCUUAUAACCAAACACCACCAAUCCCAAUUUUUUUGCGCUCGUUAAAUAACGCUAAACCAGCGUAAACGACGUUCAUGGAUGCAAUGCUAUGGCAGGAGUUGUAACUGCUUCCGAAAAAAACCCAGCACCUGGAUAGCGGACAAUUUAAAUAAACCAGACUGAGGCUAAUAUCACCUCAAAUAAAGGAUCAUGGUGGCAAAGUACGGACAAGUCUGCUCGUGGAAAUGGGAACGAUUAUAGGAGUUUCUUCAGGCAAGGGGUUUACCAGUGACGGAGAGAGUGGAGGAGCUUCGAGCUUCAGUGUGCGGUGCUCAGUUCUUCAGUGUACCGGUGGUCAACCCACGAUAAAGAGCCCAGGAAUCGUAUGCCGUGUGACUGGGCUAUCAAAGCGCUUCACACAAGUAAGG